GACGAACGCUGGCGGCGUGCUUAACACAUGCAAGUCGAACGGAAAGGCCCUGCUUUUGUGGGGUGCUCGAGUGGCGCACGGGUGAGUAACGCGUGAGUAACCUGCCCUUGUCUUUGGGAUAACUUCAGGAAACUGGGGCUAAUACCGGAUAGGAGCUCCUGCUGCAUGGUGGGGGAUGGAAAGUGUCGGCGGUUGGGGAUGGACUCGCGGCUUAUGAGCUUGUUGGUGGGGUAGUGGCUUCCCAAGGCUUUGAAGGGUAGCCGGCCUGAGAGGGUGACCGGGCACAUUGGGCCUGAGGUACGCCGCAGACGGCUACGGGAGGCAGCAGUCGGGAACAUGGCACAAUGGGCGGAAGUGUGAUGCAGCGACGCCGCGAGCGGGAUGACGGCCUUCGGGUGGUAAACCGCUGUCGCCUGUGACGAAGCGGGAGUGACGGUAAUGGGUAAAGAAGCACCGGCUAACUACGUG
rnacentral:rRNA from 1 species